rnacentral:rRNA from 1 species
CCCUUAGAUGUUCUGGGCCGCACGCGCGCUACACUGACGAAUGCAACGAGCUUAUAACCUUGGCCGAAAGGUCUGGGUAAUCUCCAAAUUUCGUCGUGAUGGGGAUAGAUUAUUGCAAUUAUUAAUCUUCAACGAGGAAUGCCUAGUAAGCGCAAGUCAUCAGAUUGCGUUGAUUACGUCCCUGCCCUUUGUACACACCGCCCGUCGCUCCUACCGAUUGAAUGGUCCGGUGAAGCGUUCGGACCGUGGCCUUUGGACGGUUCGCCGUCUGUUGGCUGCGGGAAGUUCGUUAAACCUUAUCAUUUAGAGGAAGGAGAAGUCGUAACA